rnacentral:rRNA from 1 species
GACGAACGCUGGCGGCGUGCUUAACACAUGCAAGUCGAGCGGUAAGGCUCCUUAGGGAGUACACGAGCGGCGAACGGGUGAGUAACACGUGAGCAAUCUGCACUUCACACGGGGAUAACCCUCGGAAACGAGAGCUAAUACCCGAUACGACCACUUCAGGCAUCUGAUGGUGGUGGAAAGUUCCGGCGGGGAAGGAUGAGCUCGCGGCCUAUCAGCUUGUUGGUGGGGUAACGGCCCACCAAGGCAACGACGGGUAGCCGGCCUGGGAGGGUGACCGGCCACACUGGGACGGAGACACGGCCCAGACUCCUACGGGAGGCAGCAGUGGGGAAUAUUGGACAAUGGGCGAAAGCCUGAUCCAGCAACGCCGCGUGAGGGAUGACGGCCUUCGGGUUGUAAACCUCUUUCAGCAGGGACGAAGCGCAAGUGACGGUACCUGCAGAAGAAGCACCGGCCAACUACGUGCCAGCCGCCGCCGUAA